rnacentral:misc_RNA from 1 species
UGAUAUGCAUCAGAUAUGGAGAUGUUGGCACAGCAUUUGAUAAAUUUGGAGUCUUGUUUUUUCGGGUUAACUACGACUGAAUUUAGAAAACUUGCGUUCGAGUUUGCCGAAAAAUUUCAAUUACCCCAUCAUUUUAACAGAGCAUAUAGAUAUAGAGAGAUAUAUCGCACCUUCGAUGGUACAAGGGUUCAACUGCACUUUUUGUAAUUUUACAGGAGAGCCAUUUUAAAUUUUUUUUUGCAUUCCGAGUCGUAUUAUUCGUCUUUGUACUGCUUCAAAGUGUUUGUUCUUUGCAUGAAAUA